rnacentral:tRNA from 1 species
GGCUUGAUAGCUCAGUUGGUAGAGCACUGCACCAGCAUCGCAGAGGUUGUGGGUUCGAAUCUCGUUCAAGCCU